rnacentral:rRNA from 1 species
GAUGAACGCUGGCGGCGUGCCUAAUACAUGCAAGUCGAGCGAACAGACGAGGAGCUUGCUCCUCUGACGUUAGCGGCGGACGGGUGAGUAACACGUGGAUAACCUACCUAUAAGACUGGGAUAACUUCGGGAAACCGGAGCUAAUACCGGAUGAUAUUUUGAACCGCAUGGUUCAAUAGUGAAAGACGGUUUUGCUGUCACUUAUAGAUGGAUCCGCGCCGCAUUAGCUAGUUGGUAAGGUAACGGCUUACCAAGGCAACGAUGCGUAGCCGACCUGAGAGGGUGAUCGGCCACACUGGAACUGAGACACGGUCCAGACUCCUACGGGAGGCAGCAGUAGGGAAUCUUCCGCAAUGGGCGAAAGCCUGACGGAGCAACGCCGCGUGAGUGAUGAAGGUCUUCGGAUCGUAAAACUCUGUUAUUAGGGAAGAACAAAUGUGUAAGUAACUAUGCACGUCUUGACGGUACCUAAUCAGAAAGCCACGGCUAACUACGUG